rnacentral:misc_RNA from 1 species
CCAACAGAGACCGGUCUAGUGUUUAAUCCCAAAGGAGAGCGAGAGAGAUGACGGCCGCCGGUGAUAUCUCUGAGAACAGGUCUCAUCUCAAAUUGCCCUGGAGACGAAUCCACGAUUUUAUUCGAUUCUUGCUUUAUCUUAAUCACUUGACUGUGAACUGGGAAACCCGUGUUAAUCCUCCUAUCUUCUUUGCCAAAAAUCCUCUGAUCCAUCUUCCACAAAAGCUUCU